rnacentral:misc_RNA from 1 species
GAGGUAGUCUCAUUCCCUUGUUGAUUUUAUGCUUAAUUGGUCUGAUAUUGGCAGUGAUAGCUCUAUCCUGCACAUGGUGCAUUUUGUUUUUUCAAAAUGGCAAUCUUUCUUACGGUAAGCACUAGCUGCCUAAAUAUCCUGCACAACUCUCACCAUUUCUUAAAAUGGAGAAAAAAGUGUCGUGUCAGGUUGUUUUCUAUUGAUCUGGCCUUAUAGUGAACUCCCAAUUAAGAAAAAUGAGAAAAUAUAUUUAGUACUGAAUUUUCAUGGAGUGAGAGUAGAAUACAUAGCAAGGAAAAAAAACACGUGAGAUUGAGAAAAUAAAUUUUCA